rnacentral:rRNA from 1 species
GUGCCAGCAGCCGCGGUAAUACCGUAGGUGGCAAGCGUUGUCCGGAUUUAUUGGGCGUAAAGCGAGCGCAGGCNGGUUUCUUAAGUCUGAUGUGAAAGCCCCCGGCUCAACCNGGGGAGGGUCAUUGGAAACUGGGAAACUUGAGUGCAGAAGAGGAGAGUGGAAUUCCAUGUGUAGCGGUGAAAUGCGUAGAUAUAUGGAGGAACACCAGUGGCGAAGGCGGCUCUCUGGUCUGUAACUGACGCUGAGGCUCGAAAGCGUGGGGAGCAAACAGGAUUAGAUACCCUGGUAGUCC